GACGAACGCUGGCGGCGUGCUUAACACAUGCAAGUCGAACGGAAAGGCCCUGCUUUUGUGGGGUGCUCGAGUGGCGAACGGGUGGGUAACACGUGAGUAACCUGCCCUUGACUUUGGGAUAACUUCAGGAAACUGGGGCUAAUACCGGAUAGGAGCUCCUGCUGCAUGGUGGGGGUUGGAAAGUUUCGGCGGUUGGGGAUGGACUCGCGGCUUAUCAGCUUGUUGGUGGGGUAGUUGCUUACCAAGGCUUUGACGGGUAGCCGGCAUGAGAGGGUGACCGGCCACAUUGGGACUGAGAGACGGCGCAGACUCCAACGGGAGGCAGCAGUGGGGAAUAUUGCACAAUGGGCGGAAGCCUGAUGCAGAAACGCCGCGUGCGGGAUGACGGCCUUCGGGUUGUAAACCGCUUUCGCCUGUGACGAAGCGUGAGUGACGGUAAUGGGUAAAGAAGCACCGGCUAACUACGUG
rnacentral:rRNA from 1 species